rnacentral:rRNA from 1 species
AGAGUUUGAUCCUGGCUCAGGAUGAACGCUGGCGGCGUGCUUAACACAUGCAAGUCGAACGAAGCACUUUAUUUGAUUUCUUCGGAAUGAAGAUUUUGUGACUGAGUGGCGGACGGGUGAGUAACGCGUGGGUAACCUGCCUCAUACAGGGGGAUAACAGUUGGAAACGACUGCUAAUACCGCAUAAGCGCACAGGGUCGCAUGACCUGGUGUGAAAAACUCCGGUGGUAUGAGAUGGACCCGCGUCUGAUUAGCCAGUUGGUGGGGCAACGGCCUACCAAAGCGACGAUCAGUAGCCGACCUGAGAGGGUGACCGGCCACAUUGGGACUGAGACACGGCCCAAACUCCUACGGGAGGCAGCAGUGGGGAAUAUUGCACAAUGGGGGAAACCCUGAUGCAGCGACGCCGCGUGAGCGAAGAAGUAUUUCGGUAUGUAAAGCUCUAUCAGCAGGGAAGAAGAAAUGACGGUACCUGACUAAGAAGCACCGGCUAAAUACGUGCCAGCAGCCGCGGUAAUACGUAUGGUGCAAGCGUUAUCCGGAUUUACUGGGUGUAAAGGGAGCGCAGGCGGUACGGCAAGUCUGAUGUGAAAGCCCGGGGCUCAACCCCGGUACUGCAUUGGAAACUGUCGGACUAGAGUGUCGGAGGGGUAAGUGGAAUUCCUAGUGUAGCGGUGAAAUGCGUAGAUAUUCGGAGGAACACCAGUGGCGAAGGCGGCCUGCUGGGCUUUAACUGACGCUGAGGCUCGAAAGUGUGGGGAGCAAACAGGAUUAGAUACCCUGGUAGUCCACACUGUAAACGAUGAUUGCUAGGUGCGGGGGGUCUGACCUCUUCCGUGCCGGAGUUAACGCAAUAAGCAAUCCACCUGGGGAGUACGGCCGCAAGGUUGAAACUCAAAGGAAUUGACGGGGGCCCGCACAAGCAGUGGAUUAUGUGGUUUAAUUCGACGCAACGCGAAGAACCUUACCAGGUCUUGACAUCCAACGAAUCCUUAAGAGAUUAGGGAGUGCCUUUCGGGGAACGUUGAGACAGGUGGUGCAUGGUUGUCGUCAGCUCGUGUCGUGAGAUGUUGGGUUAAGUCCCGCAACGAGCGCAACCCCUGCCAUUAGUUGCUACGCAAGAGCACUCUAAUGGGACCGCUACCGACAAGGUGGAGGAAGGUGGGGACGACGUCAAAUCAUCAUGCCCCUUAUGACCUGGGCUACACACGUAAUACAAUGGCCGUUAACAACGGGAGGCAAAACCGCGAGGUAGAGCAAAACCCUAAAAACGGUCCCAGUUCGGAUCGCAGGCUGCAACCCGCCUGCGUGAAGUUGGAAUUGCUAGUAAUCGCGGAUCAGCAUGCCGCGGUGAAUACGUUCCCGGGCCUUGUACACACCGCCCGUCA